UGGAAUUAUAUUCACUUUUUACUUCUUUUUUUCUCUUUUUAUGUUUAAUCAUACAAAAAAUCUAGGGGGAUCAGGAUUUUCCGACUAGGGUUAGUGACCGGCCGAAUUUUUUUUUAUUUUUUUUUUUAAUUUUUUUGUUUUAGACUACAAAAUAAUUAAUAUGAUUUAUUGGAACUAAAAUUUUUAUAAAAUGCAAUAAUUUGGGUGUCUUUUGAAUACACACAACAAAAAGGGUUAUACAAUCUGUACAAUCCUAUUUUUUAGGUGUAUCCAAAUGACACCUAAAUCACUGUAUUUUAUAAAAAUUUCAGUUCUAAUAAAUCACAUUAAUUAUUUUGUAGUCAAAAGCAAAACAAAAAUUAAAAAAAAUAAAAAAUAAUUCCGGCCGGUCACUACCCCGGCCGGAAAAGCCGGUCCCCCUAGAAGUACUCUUAAUCAUAUUCAUUUGGAGCAUGGGCUCGACGAUCACCAGGUAAGUUUAUCCCCCUUCUUCUCCUCCGAUCUUCUCCUCCAUUUUUCUUUCCUUCUGCGAUCUGCAAUGACGAGUCGAGCCCUUUUUAUUUUCGCCUAGCCCUAAUUUUCAAUCCGAUUUUUAGAUCCUAAUGUUAUAUUCACAUAUUUUUAUCCCAGGUAAUGUUUUUGUUGUUUGAAUUGUCAGUUUGAAUAUAUCAAAUCUGGAGAUGGACAUCGACUUUCAGACGAAAAAUAGGGUCGGGAAGCGCUUUCGUAUCUCCAAGGGGGAGGAGGUCUCCAAACAAUACCCCAUACCCUUAAAGCCCCCGACAUAAAGACCGGAGAUUGUCUGACGGAGGUGUUUCGGGUGAUAGUCAAUAGAGAAGGGCACAUAUCUGGUAAAAUCUUCUUAAAUAUUGGACCUCAACUAACAAGACUGAAGAAGAAGAAGAAGAAUAUGUUUUAAAGGGGGGCGAUCUAAUGUUGACUGGCGCCGUUCUACUGUCCCAUAAUCUUUUUCUCAUCUUUGCGGAUCUGAAUCACAAGAAUCACAAGAGGAAAAACUACUGGAGACAAAAAACUAUCGUGUAUGAGAAGUUGGGGGUGGGCAUGGAUGUGGUGAGUUCCAGAAUAGUCUAGAAAAUUGAGUUUUUUUUAAUAAAUAAUAAUUGAUAUUUGAAGUGUUUUAAUAUUUUUAAUAGUAUGUUUUUUUUUUAUGUUUAAGUUUAAAUUUAAUGAUUUCAUUGGAUUAAUAUUAAUUUCAUUGAAUUAAAAUAUUUAUUUUAAUUAUUUUUUUUCCACAUAAUUAAUGAUUUUAUUAUUUUAUUUUUUUGUGUUGCCACAUAAGAAAAUAAUAUUUUUUUGAUAUUUUUUUUCAAUGCCACGCCUGAAAAUAUUUGACGUUCCUCCAAUUUUUUGAACGGAAUGACCUGAACUUUACUUUUAAAAAACAAAGUAGGCCAAUUGCAUAUUUUUAAAGUUUAGUGGGCAAAUACUUACAAGCCGACGACCACAGUGGAGUAAAGUUACUUUUUACCGAUAAAUAUUUCUCUUCAUAAUAUAUCUUUUCAAAGAUUAAUAAUAUAAAAAAAAUUAAGUGUAGAAGAAUUUUUAGAGAAAACAAGCGUACAAAAACUUUAAAGAAAAAAUUUAAAAUUUUUAGAGUGUAUAAAUUUUUUUAGAGAUGAGAGAAUGUAUAAAAUAUUAGAGAUAAAAAGUGGAAGAAUAUAAAAAUUAAAUAUCAUAAAUAAUUUAUAUAAUUAGAUCAUAAUAAUGGUAAGCUUAAAAUUUGAAAUAUGGGGAGACUCAUAACUGUAUGGUUCCAACCCACACAAUCCAUAUUAAAAAUAGUUAAUGUUAUUUUAGUUCUUAAAUAAAACUAUAACGAAAUUUUGUUAUGAUCUACUAGCACUGAGUAUCACACACGAUACAUAUGUAAAUUACGUGGGAUAAAAUAUAAAUUCUUUAAUAUUUGAAGAAAUUAAUAAAAAGAUAAAAAUAUUAAUAUAAAAAAGAUAAAAUAAUAAUAUAAUUAUAAAGAUAAAAAUUGAAAAAAUAAAUAAUGUAACACGAUUACACCAAAUUACCAUGGUCUCUUUCGCACUGACCUAGGUGUAUUUUUUGUUGUCUGCAUUUGCUCUCUUCUCAACUGUCGGAGUUGAAGUUGAUUCUGCCGCUGCUAGA
rnacentral:lncRNA from 1 species